GAUGAAGAACGCAGCGAAAUGCGAUACGUAAUGUGAAUUGCAAAUUCAGUGAAUCAUCGAGUCUUUGAACGCACAUUGCGCCCCCUGGUAUUCCGGGGGGCAUGCCUGUCCGAGCGUCAUUGCUGCCCUCAAGCACGGCUUGUGUGUUGGGCCCCGUCCUCCGACCCCGGGGGACGGGCCCGAAAGGCAGCGGCGGCACCGCGUCCGGUCCUCGAGCGUAUGGGGCUUUGUCACCCGCUCUGUAGGCCCGGCCGGCGCUUGCCGAUCAACCCAAAUUUUUAUCCAGGUUGACCUCGGAUCAGGUAGGGAUACCCGCUGAACUUAAGCAUAUCAAUAAGCGGAGGA
rnacentral:misc_RNA from 1 species